rnacentral:rRNA from 1 species
UACAGAGGUCCCAAGCGUUGUUCGGAUUCACUGGGCGUAAAGGGUGCGUAGGCGGUCGGGUAAGUCUGAUGUGAAAUCUCACAGCUUAACUGUGAAACUGCAUUGGAUACUAUCCGGCUCGAGGAAUGGAGGGGAGACUGGAAUACUUGGUGUAGCAGUGAAUUGCGUAGAUAUCUAGUGGAACACCAGUGGCGAAGGCGAGUCUCUGGACAUUUCCUGACGCUGAGGCACGAAAGCCAGGGGAGCAAACGGG